ACCUAUCCAACGAUCAAUUGUCUCGGCAACACACAAACAACGUAAGCAGCGAUACUUAAAGAAAAAUCAAGCGGAAAGUAAAGAACACAAGACACCAACAAUGGUAACCCAGUUCGGUGAUAAAACACCUACGUCUGGGGGGCCUCGCCCAGUUCAAACAGUUCACUAGUGAGGAUAAGAAAUACAAAGGACUUACACGCGAAGACUCAAUCUUCCUAGCCUCUAUUUCUUCCCAAAUCGUCACCUAUGUGAACUACCAAGAGCAAGAUAGAACUCACUCUUCACAAACGUGAUUGAUACUCAAUCCACGUUCCACACAACAACCAAAAACCACUCCAACAGAAUGAAGUACAGAUCACCAAACAUAAAACCCACUUACGCUUUCAAGGAAAUAAACUGUAAAGCAACAGCACACACUCCCGAAUUGUAUGCUCGCUGGAUGCACGAAAAUAUUCUCACAAAGUAAAGAGAAUGAACGAAAAAGCAGCAGCCACCUGUGAUCGACGACAGCUCUUUAAAUAUGAAAACCCUUGGCAAGAAGUAGAGAGCCCAUGAACUGCAAAACCCAACCAACGCAGGGCCCAAGAAGGGUUUCCAUAAGGCGAUGAGUCCUAGGGUACGAAGACUCCCUCAAGAAAACGAACUCUUCAAGCAAAGAUAAUAUCUUUAAGAUAUCUUUCCAUAUUUCUUCAAAAACCCGCAAGGAAACAAAGUAGAAAGAACCUUGCAACCGAACAAGAAACCCAACUAGAGACAUCCUGUGAAACUAUUGAAGAAACAUCCUAUUGUCUACACAAUGACAACCAAGCAUAGAGUGAAGAAAUACUCAACAAUCUCCCCCUUUGUCAUUGGUGUAGACAAAAACAAUUUCUGCACAACUCAUGAAUACACGGCAGAAAAUAAGCAGCAUAAGCUCACCCUCAAAGAGAUCAGCUCCCCCAAAACACAAAACCUGCACCAGCAAAUCUGCACCAGCAAUAUGAAAAUCUGCACCAACAAAACACAAAGUCCUUCAAAGAAAUGCACCAGCAGACUGACAAAGAACUCCCCCUCAAAAGGAAAUCUGCUCCCCCUCAAAAACCAUAGAAAAGCAUAAAUGAAAUGCUAUCGUCAGUCGCACAGCCAAAAGCACAGACCAUAAGCACAGACAAUAUAUAUACUCCCCCUUUUUGUCACAACAAUGACAAAGAGCUAGUUGCCAGACCCAUCAGAAUCUUCAUCCUCAGAACCUUCAUCAGGUAACUCACUUGCUUUAGAAGCUAUUGCACCAGCAGAACCAUGCUUCAGAUCAAAUAACAGUGCUUCAAAAGCAGCUCGUCGCUUGAUGUCACGUGCAAGAGCAGCUGUUCGAGGAGGAACAUCAUCAUCGCUAGAAUCACCAUUCUCAUCAGUAAAAUAGGAGAAGCCCAGUUGCUGCUUUUAGAACGAGAAAACCCCAAAAGAAUUAACCCAUAGAAAUUGAAGCCCAGAAUAGCUAAUAAAACAUGAUCCAUUCGCACAACACUUGAAAGAUCACAGGACCAAUAAACACAAGUCUGAUCAAGUUUGACUUGAUUAACAGAAGAUCGACAGGAAUAAAUGUACUUCAUAUCUGCAAAGAUAACACUUUUGAAGAGACUCCAUUUGAAGCAGGAACAAGAACUGGUACUUAUGCUAGAAGAAUUCACAAAAUAGCAGAGUACCCAUGUUUUCCUCAAGACAGAUAGUCAUAAGAUACAGAGCCCCAGCUCUCCACGUAAUUUUUCGAAUCUUUCGGCAUCCAAAGGUUUUGUUAGAAUGUCGGCAAUCUGCCUCUCAGUAGGCAAGAACUCCAAAUUGAGAGUUUUAUCCUCCACCAAUUCUCUAAUAAAAUGAUGGCGAAUCUCUAUGUGUUUAGUGCGAGAGUGGAGAACAGGAUUCUUGGUGAUGUCUAUAGCACUCUUGUUGUCACAAUAUAGAGUAUAACCCCGGGAUGGUAUUCCAUAAUCUUCCAUCAUAUGAGUCAUCCAUAUAAGUUGCGUACAAGCACUGCCAGCUGCUAUGUAUUCAGCUUCUGUAGAUGAUUGAGAUACACAAUUCUGUUUCUUACUAUGCCAUGAGACCAGAUUAUUUCCCAAAUAGAAACAACCACCGGAAGUGCUUUUCCGAGCAUCUGGACUCCCUGCCCAAUCGGCAUCAGUAAAUCCAACCAAGGAAGUAGUACUGUCCUUAGUAAACCAUAAACCCAAGUUACUUGUGCCCUUGACAUACUUGAUGAUGUUUUUCACGGCAGUCAAGUGACUUUCCUUAGGACAAGCCUGGUAACGAGCACAAACUCCUACACUAAAACUGAUGUCAGGUCGACUAGCUGUGAGAUAGAGCAAACUGCCAAUCAUGCUUCGAUACAUCUUCUGAUCAACAUUCUUCCCUCCUUCGUCUUUAGAUAUCUUUGUGCUGGUACUCAUCGGAGUACGUCGAGGUUUAGAGGUCUCCAUACCAAAUUUCUUAACCAAAUUCUCAGCAUAAGUAGAUUGGCUGACAAAAAUCCCAUCUUCACUUUGUUUGACCUGAAGUCCCAGAAAAAAGCGAAGCUCGUCGAAAAGGCUCAUGUCAUAUUCACUGGUCAUGUCAUCCACAAACUCCUUAACAAGUUCUUGAGAUCGUGAUCCGAAGACAAUAUCAUCUACAUAGAUUUGAAUGAUUAUCAUAUCCUUGCCAUUGUGUUUGACAAAUAAGGUCUUGUCUGAUCCACCUCUCUUGUAUCCUUUAGAUAUGAGAAAAAUUGAUAGAGUCUCAUACCAAGCUCUCGGAGCCUGUUUCAAACCGUAGAGAGCUUUCCUCAAUCGAUACACAUGAUUUGGGAACUUGGGAUCUUCAAAUCCUUUUGGUUGUUCCACAUAAACUUCCUCCUCAAGAUCGCCAUUGAGAAAGGCGCUUUUGACAUCCAUUUGAUAUAACUUGAAAUUCAUGGAACAAGCAAGGGCAAGGAGAAGACGUACAGAUUCGAGACGAGUAACGGGGGCGAAGGUUUCUUCGAAGUCAACUCCUUCCAUCUGAGAAUAACCCUGAGCAACAAGGCGUGCCUUGUUUCUUAUAAUAAAUCCAGCAAGAUCGUAUUUGUUGCGAAAAAUCCACUUCGUUCCAAUGAUAUUAGCUGAGAUAGGCCGUGGAACAAGAUACCACACAUUGCAUCUUUCGAAUUGGAGGAGCUCUUCCUGCAUAGCUGCAAUCCAAAAUUCAUCUUGAAGGGCUUCUUUGAUGCUUUUGGGUUCCAGUUUAGAGAGAUAACACACGUGAGCAAUAUGUGCAACCAUCUUCUUAAAAUCAAUCUUGAUGCCCCGAGUUUUUAUCCCUUCAUUUAUCUCUCCAAUGAUAUCAGCUUGAGAAUGAUUCUUUUCAACUCUACUAACUCUGGUAGUAGGAUCAACGUGUUCUUCAUCUCCACUCUCUGUAUCACUGUCAAUUUUGAUAUUAGUGGGUUCUGCAGUUUUGACCGGUGAAGAAACUUCAGUAGAGACAUUCUGAGCAACUUCUUCAUCUGAGAGAUUUCUAUCUGCAUCAUCAAAAAUGACGUUCGUUGACUCUUGAAUUGUUUCAGUCUUCUUGUUGAACACCCGAAAGCCAUGACCAUCAGAAUAACCCAAAAAUAUACCUUCCGAACUUCUGUCAUCCAACUUCUUUUUCUGUUCGCGAUCAUUUAGAAUGUAGCAGGUACAUCCAAAAGUAUGAAAAUACUUUACAUUUGGUUUUCUUCCCUUCCAUAUUUCAUAAGGUGUGGAUGAAGUCUUGGGUCGCAAAUACACACGAUUGAUGAUAUAGCAAGCCGUAUUCAUAGCUUCAGCCCAGAAAUUUGUUGCUAUGUUUUUGCUUUCAUCAUAGUUCGAACCAUGUCCUGAAGAGUACGAUUCUUCCGUUCCACGACUCCAUUUUGCUGAGGAGUUUUCGGAGCAGAAUACUCAUGAGUGAUUCCCUUUUCUUCACAAAAUUUGUCAAACUCAGAAUUUUCAAAUUCUCUUCCGUGAUCACUUCUGAUUCGUUUCACAGAUACUUCUUUAUCCUUUUCAAGCUUGAGACAUAAAAUCUUGAACUUUUCGAAGGCUUCUGAUUUAUCUCUUAGAAAGAGCACCCAGGUAAACCGAGAGAAGUCAUCGACACAUACUAGCACAUAUUUCUUUCUCCCUAUGCUUUCAACCUGCAUUGGCCCCAUGAGAUCCAUAUGUAUCAGUUCAAGAAUGCGAGUAGUUGUGAUUUUGGAGACUCUCUUGUGACUUGAAUGAGUUUGCUUCCCGAUCUGACACGCACCGCAAACACCUUUAGUAUUAAUCACCAGCUUGGGAAGACCUUUGAUAGCAUCUGUCUUCACGAGCUUUUUCAUGUUUCUCAGGCUGGUAUGUCCAAGUUUUUGAUGCCAUGUAUCAGUAUCAUCUCCAAGAACCUGAAAACAUGAAUUAUCAGGAGAUACAAUGUAGCAAUUAUCACUUGAUCGCUUGCCCGAGAUAUACUCCUUAUCUCCAUCUUUAACAAUGCACUUAUCUUUGUCGAAAAUGACCGUCAUUUGUUCAUCGCAGAGCUGACUGAUACUGAUCAGAUUGGCCUUCAAACCUUCAACAAGCAUGACAUUCUUUAGUUUAGGCAUACCUGGAACAUUCAAAGUACCUGUUCCUACGACCUUUGCCUGGACACCAUCACCAAAAGUUACUCUUUCUUCAACAAUUGUAUGAAUAUCCUCCAGAUGCUUCUCAUCUCCAGUCAUAUGCUUAGAGCAACCACUAUCUAAAUACCAUGACCGAUGAAAGCCAGACCAAAGAGAGUUGUGAACAACAUAUCCUCUGUUCAUCCUUGGCCGAUAAUUUUGGGAAUUUCUCAUAUUUUGGAUGUCGCGUAGAAGAAAUCGACAUCUAGGUCUGAUAUGACCUCUCCUUCCACAAUAGUGACAAGUUGGAACGAAAGCUCUAUUGUAGUUUUUCUUCGAAUGAGCAUUUUUAUAAGCAGCUGGUCGAAGCACAGGUGGUUUAGGCGGCUGAUCAACUGCGUUGGGGGGCGUGGCUUUAGCUUUUCCUCCAUCAUCUUUGGGAAUCCAUCCUUUUCCUUGAAAGCCUAAUCCAGCUUUAUUUCCAGAGCUUUGACUAUUUUCCAGAAUUUCGUCCAACUUUUCAGUCCCGGUAUUCAUCAUUUUAACAAGUUUUUGAUGAUGCUCCAGUUCAUCAAUCUUAGAUUUCAUAGUCUGUCGAAGAGCCACCAGUUCAGCCUUUUGUUUUUCACAGAGAUCCACAAGUUCAUCACGUUCCUUCGAGACAUUGCUAAGUUGAGUGGAAAGAGAUUUAUUCAGCUCAAGCACAGCUACACACUUCUUGUACAUCAGUUCAUAAUUCUCUGUCAAGAAGCUUUCAUCAAUAUCCUCAUUAUCACUUUCAGUCUCUUCCACAGUAACAACAUCUGAAGAGACUUUGGCUGGGAUUUCCUCCAUUUUAGCAGCAUAUGCGACAUUGUUCUCUUGAACGUCUGAAUCUAUCUCAAGUUUCAGGGGAUCAUCAUCAACCUCCUCCUCUUUGGUAAGCUUAAUAGAGCUUAUAAGAGCAACCGGUUCAUCCUCUGACUCGCUCCCACUGUCAUCCGUUUCAUCAUCACUCAAUGAGACAUUGUAGGAUUUGUUUUCCUUGUUCAGCUUCUUCAAAGUAUUCGCACAUUCAGCUUGAAUGUGUCCAUAACCAUGACAUUCAUAGCAUUGAAUUCCAGAUUUUGAAGCAGACCCUUGAUCCUUCUUCCCUUGAGAUAGUUGAAAGCUUUUUGCAUUCUGAAAACCUCUACCUCCAUCAUUUCUCUUUUUGAACUUAUUGAAAGCUUUACCAAAUUUUUUGGUAAAAAGAGCAAGAGAUUCAAUUAAAUCAUCAGAAUCAUAUUUGGUAGAGCCCUUCUUGCUGUUUCCGGAAUCUGCGACAAACGCAAUACUCUUCUUCUUCUCAGAUCUCUCUGGCCGAAGAUUCAUUUCGAACGUUCUUAAAGAACCUAUUAGUUCUUCAAGCUUCAUAUCACUGACGUCUCUUGCUUCAUCUAUGGCAGUGAGUUUGUAGUCAAAUCUUUCAGGUAGAGCACGCAUCACUUUUCGCACAAGCUUUUCUUCAGGAAUUCUUUCUCCAAGAGAGAAACUUUCAUUAGCAAGAGCAAGGAGUUUGCCAUGAAAGGUGCUAAUAUCCUCAUUCUCGUCCAUCCUUAGCUCUUCAAACUUCGUAGCAAGUUGCUGGAGACGCUGUUUUUUAACUUUAGAAUUCCCCUCAUAAGUACUCAUCAGAACAUCCCACGCCUCUUUUGCGUUAGCACACAUAGAUAUAAGAGCAAACACCUCCAUAGUUACAGCAUUCUGGAUAGAAUUCAGAGCUUUUUGAUUGGCAUUAGAGGCGGCCAGUUCAGUGAGCGUCCAUUUAUUUCUGGGCGUAAGUUUUCCUUCCACAUCACAAGGAGCAGUCCACCCUUCUUCCACAGCGGUCCAGGCAUUCUCAUCAACCGCACGAAUAAAAGAUGUCAUACGCAUCUUCCAGUAGAUGUAGUUGCUCCCAUCCAGUAAAGGUGGUCUAGAGACUGAACCACCUUCUCUUUGGGUUGCCAUAGAGAAGAACAACGCAGCAGCAGCGGAAUAGAACGGAUAGAUACACCAGGAACUACCACCGAUAACUUGGGUGAUCCCGCUCUGAUACCAAUUGAAAUUGUACCUAUCCAACGAUCAAUUGUCUCGGCAACACACAAACAACGUAAGCAGCGAUACUUAAAGAAAAAUCAAGCGGAAAGUAAAGAACACAAGACACCAACAAUGGUAACCCAGUUCGGUGAUAAAACACCUACGUCUGGGGGGCCUCGCCCAGUUCAAACAGUUCACUAGUGAGGAUAAGAAAUACAAAGGACUUACACGCGAAGACUCAAUCUUCCUAGCCUCUAUUUCUUCCCAAAUCGUCACCUAUGUGAACUACCAAGAGCAAGAUAGAACUCACUCUUCACAAACGUGAUUGAUACUCAAUCCACGUUCCACACAACAACCAAAAACCACUCCAACAGAAUGAAGUACAGAUCACCAAACAUAAAACCCACUUACGCUUUCAAGGAAAUAAACUGUAAAGCAACAGCACACACUCCCGAAUUGUAUGCUCGCUGGAUGCACGAAAAUAUUCUCAC
rnacentral:lncRNA from 1 species